UUUUAGGUUAUGUUUACAAAUUUAUUUUAUAGAAGCCAAAUUUGGAGCAAAAAAAAAAAAGAGAAAAGUUAAUUUAACCAAAUAUAUGCAAGACUUAAUCCCACACUUUCGCCAGUAUUUAAGUGUUUGUGAUAAAACAAAAUGAGUGACGAAAAAAGUCUUGAAUCCAGCAAUAAUAGUGAAUCAGAGGAGCACCGAGCUAAGCUCAAGAAACAAAAGAAGCAUAAGAAACACAAAAAGUCCACAUCCAGUAAGAGUGAUAGAGAUAAACAUGUUCACAAAAGGCAAAAAAAGUCCAAGAAGCGUCACCACCGCCAUAGCGACUCUCCCCAUGACUCCGACGGAACAACAGAACAUCCAAGCGCCAAACAACAGAAGAGCUAUGACAAGUUCUCCGAAAUCAUGCAGAAGACAAGCCGUAAUGGCGUCGAGUUCUGUAUCUCUAGCUCCAAAUUGCAAACAGACCCGUGUAGUCUCGUGGAGGAAAUUACAAAGACCAUACAGAACAAGGUUCUCCCAGUUUUGGAGGUGGGCAGUUCAAGCAGCGAGAGUGAUGUCCCCAUGGACGUUGCUAGUCCGAUUAUUGCUUCCAUUAUAGAAGAUGAGUUAAAUUUAGAGGAUCUGAUGAAGCAGAAAGCAUUGCUACAGGCUCGCCUGGGUGCGUACAUGUCGGACCCCGACGCUGAUGAAAGAAGUGAACCCAACUCACGACCACAGUCGGUGCAGUCCAAGCAAAUAGCCAUCAAGGGCCAAUCGCAGCCUUUAUUCCAACCGCAGCCGAUGGUCCUCAGCAAGUCUGCAGCGCCGCUGGCUACUGCAACUAGUAAAAAUGUUAAUAAUAAACAGUCUAGCAUCCAUAACUCAAAUGAAUCCGAUGUUAUAUUAUUGGAUGAUUCUAGUGGAGGCCAACGUACGCCGUCGCCUACGCCAGAGAAGCGAAGACGACACGCACCACCAUCCCCAGCAGCGCCUAGAAGUCGAGUACGCGACGAUCCGGUUCAUGGACGACGUGAUCUCCGCUCUAGAGACCGGGACCAGGUGCGUAGCCGCACUCCCCCUCGCCGGCGUUUGGAGGAACAGACUCGGCCCCGCAGUCUAAGCUCCCAACGACGGAAUCAUCAGCAUAACAAUCGUAACAUGGAAGACUUGCGCCAGGAGAUAAAUCGCGAUAAACAGCGGGAAAGGCACGAGCAUAGCCGAGAUCGAGAGCGCCGUGGAGCAGGAACAGACAGACCACAAGCCACAGUCGAACCACGUGCUGGUCGUCCACGGGAGAGAGAAGGUCGCUUUAGUCGGCAGCGGUCCCACAGUCGCAGUAAGUUUGAGUCGGACAGGCGCCGUGAGCGUGAGCGCUUCCUAGACCGGGAUCGUUGUGGCUUUGGUGGUAAUAAUCGUCUUGGAGCACGUGGCGGUACCGACAACGACCGAGACCGCUACAAAGGUUCAUUGAGCGAAGGGCAGAAGAUGCACGACAAGGAGUCUAGUGACGAUGACGUCAAUCUGGAUAUAGACAUUAACGAGGAUGAAGAUGAUGAGGAACGUAUCAUUGAGCAGCGUCGGAAGAAGCGCGAGGAGCUUCUCAAGAAACUGGGAACAGGGCAGGAUUCGCCCACUCCUCAAAAUUCAAACUCUUAUGAGUCUCGUAGCACCUCAGCAGGCUCGUCGCAACGCGAUCGCCUACAAAGAACUCCCACGCCCACCCUGAUGAUCAAUGACUUGGAGCACCCCAAGGUGCAGCAGCAGUUGGACAAUUCCAACAGCCAAAAGAAUAGUUCGGGAAAAGAGAAACGCAAUGAGUGGGACAUGUUUGCGGAUCAGGAUGUUGAUUCCAAUUUCGAUUCGCCCAGCACAAUUAUUCACAACAAGCAUCAGCAUGAGAAUCCUGCCCUUACCGACAACUGGGAUGACGCCGAAGGAUAUUAUCGUGUACGGAUUGGAGAAGUUCUAGACAAUCGCUACUUGGUUAGUGGCUAUACGGGUCAAGGAGUGUUCAGCAAUGUAGUGCGUGGGCGGGAUCAGGCUCGGGGACAGGCGAAUGUAGCAAUCAAGAUCAUUCGCAACAACGAAAUUAUGCACAAAACUGGCUUGCGAGAGCUGGAAAUCCUCAAGAAACUGAACGACGCCGAUCCCGAAGAUCGUUUCCACUGCCUGCGAUUGAAUCGCCAUUUUUUCCACAAACAGCAUCUCUGCAUGGUGUUCGAGCCACUGGCCAUGAAUUUGCGUGAGGUGUUAAAGAAGUACGGCAAAAAUGUCGGUUUGCACAUCAAAGCAGUGCGCAGCUACACUCAGCAACUGUUUUUAGCCCUCAAGCUGCUGAAAAAGACAGGUAUUCUGCAUGCGGACAUUAAGCCGGAUAAUAUUUUAGUCAACGAGAAUAAUUUAAUACUGAAGUUGUGCGACUUUGGAUCUGCUUCGGCAAUAAGUGACAAUGAAAUUACUCCGUACUUGGUGUCACGGUUCUAUCGAUCGCCCGAGAUUAUUUUGGGAAUACCAUAUGACUAUGGAAUUGACACUUGGUCUGCUGGUUGCACUAUCUAUGAAUUAUACACGGGCAAGAUUUUGUUCAGCGGAAAGAGUAAUAAUCAGAUGCUAAAGUUUUUCAUGGACGUGAAGGGCAAGAUACCGAACCGUAUUGUAAGAAAGGGUCAAUUCAGAGAGCAGCACUUCGAUCAGAACUGCAAUUUCCUCUAUCACGAGAUAGACAAGCUUACGGAAAGGGAGAAGGUUGUUGUGAUGCCAGUCGUAAAGCCAUCGCGAAGCCUGCAGCAGGAACUAAUUGCUGAUCAAAAUUUGCCCGAUGAUCAGCAUCGCAAGGUCACCCAGCUCAAGGACCUGCUAGAGAACAUGUUUGCCCUUGAUCCAGCGAAGCGGAUCUCCCUCAAUCAAUCACUAAUGCAUCCAUUUAUACAGGAGAAAAUGUAGAGAUGAACAACGACAUCGAAUAAACUGUGCCGCUGAUCAUGGAAGAGCGCUCCUUGGCCGUGUGGCUGACACAACUGGUGGGUUGACUUCACAAGUCUAUACGGAGACCUCUUCGAUCUUCGGCUUUUACUGACCAUUCGAAAAGUUAAAUCGUAAGUUCAUACAAGAACACAUUCCACAUUUUUAAGCUAAGGGUAAGUAAAGAUGUCCAACAAAUAGUAAUGCGUGACAUGCUAUGGUGGACGGGCACCUGAGCUAUCGAAAGGCAUCGGCAGGGCCAGUACUGUCUGCAGAGUCUCGCAAUCUCUUAGACUGUGGAGGAUGCGGGGCUGAAGCUCGCUUUUUAGCAAGCAUUUGAAUCGCUUGGGCUUCCAAUUGUUUUCCGAAUAGGGAUCACGCAACAGUGCAAAGACGCAUUCAAAAACGCCAACACAGGACUCGGUUGUGUGAAGAGUACCACAGGAGAGCACCAAGACUUGACCAUAGGAAUCCAUGCGCCCUUGUAUUCCACCGUGGGUUAAGUUUGGAUUAAAUAGGAAGCCAAAUUUCUUUUUUGUGCCUAUAAGUACUGAAAGUACCUCUGGAGCCGUCUCACACUCCUGCACAUUGAUACCAUCACUUGCACUGAUAGUCAAGUGCAAGGCCGCAUCGUUCCACAAAUCUAUGAGGCUAAGUCGGUCAGAAUUAAUGCGUUCAAAAAACCACUGGCCGAAUUUGCGAGCCAUUGUGUGAAUGGGAUACUCCUCUACUUCUACGUUGUUCGGUUUGCUAAUGGGCUCUACAGGUUGCUCCCAAUAUUUGAUCACUUUCGUUACCAAAUCCGCCUUGGUAAAGUUUGUGGCUAUGCCCGGUAAGCGUCUCUUCACAUACAUAAACAGAAGUUCACGCGUGACGAGACGUUUGGACAAUAAAACGUGUAUGUCCUCCACAUGCGAUAUGAGGUAGUCAAGAGCUUCUGAUCUUCGAUUUUACACACAUUUUUGGUCGUACUCUUGGCCAACUGCAUCAAUAUAGCUGUGUUUUUCUCAUUCACCAAGAAGUCUCGGAGACCGUUCUUGUAGACUUCCAAAAUGGGCAUGGUUAUUAAAAACUUGUAUACCGAUAUGUGCUUAAUUGCUCUGCGUAUGAUAUACAUUUAUCCAUAAUUUGUCUGAAAAAAUCAAACCAAAUCAGCUGUUUGCUAUGAAGAUAUGGUCACACUUAACCCGCAGUGUUGUCAAAUGGUGGAAAAAGAAAAAGUGCAGCUUCUUUCUGAUUCUUCAAUUAUAUUGAAGUGGAAGGUUAUUGCUUGAACACCUCCUUCUGUUUAAUAAAGAAAUUUUACACAAAUUAACUUGAACGAACUUUAU